AGGCGCACGUCGUAGGACUGUGACGUCACCGGACGGGCUCCCUGCACGAGACACACGCUGAUGGAGGCACUGGGUGUUCUUCUAUAAAGAUUCCUCCCUGGAAAAAUGAGUUAUGCAAGCGCGCGGUGUCAGGCGCCGGGCGUCUGUGUAACCAUGACAACCCGGCGCCACGUAACCAAUGACGCGCUUGGUGUGCACCGAGGCCGGGACCAACGGAUGGGAUCCCGAGCGGCGUAAGGUACUUUGGCGGGCUUCUUUGGGGAUAAAGCUUCUUCAGAUCCAAAUCCCAUUCUCUGAUGAGCAGCGAGAAGGAACAACAGGAAGAAAGAAAAAAAAAAAAAGGUGUUUGUUAAUUUAUCAGAACUGCACAGGAUUGCCCUGAGGAAUGCUUGAAAACGGUUCAUCAAUCAAACAUACCUGCAAUGCUUAAAAUUGUACAGUAGGCUGAGCUAGUACAUGUAUAAAUCUUAUGAAGCCAUAACUUGAAUCUUCAUUACAUAGGUAUAUUGUGUGUUGACGUUCAAUUAAAGGGGCCAUUAAAGCUAAAGGACAUGUCCUUAAAUUAU